UACGAAGGGGGCUAGCGUUGUUCGGAAUCACUGGGCUUAAAGGGCGCGUAGGCGGGCUAACAAGUCUGGGGUGAAAUGCCGCGGCUCAACCGUGGAACUGCCUCAGAUACUGUCGGCCUCGAGGAAGGUAGGGGCAUGCGGAACUGUAGGUGGAGCGGUGAAAUGCGUUGAUAUCUACAGGAACUCCGGUGGCGAAAGCGGCGUGCUGGACCUUUUCUGACGCUGAGGCGCGAAAGCUAGGGGAGCAAACGGG
rnacentral:rRNA from 1 species